ensembl:snRNA U12 U12 minor spliceosomal RNA
ACGCCUUAAACUGAUGAGUAAGGAAAAUAACGACGCGGGGUGACGCCCGCGUCCUCGUUCAUAUAACGAGUGCAUUUUUGGAGGGGCUCAGGUCUGACUGAUCAGGUGAUUCGCCUACUUUGCGAGAUGCCGUACAGGACCAGGACCUGCCCC